GAAAAAUUUGCAUAUUUCAUAAAAUUACUUAUGGUGAAAGAUUUUGAAUCAAGAUGGAGUUUUGAAAUGUGUUGCAACACUUUAGGAGUUGGGUCACGUCUCUCUGUCUCUUUAUGUUGGUAGUUAUGGGUUAGUGGGAGUAGUUAUCCUCUAUCGUCUUUCCCUCUCUCCCUGAAUGUAUAGGGGUAGUUAUUUUAAGUGGGAAGUUAUGUUAAUAAUGGGUGGUUAUUUCAAUGAAGCCACUAACUAGUUGU
rnacentral:lncRNA from 1 species